rnacentral:rRNA from 1 species
GAUGAACGCUGGCGGCGUGCCUAAUACAUGCAAGUCGAGCGAACAGACGAGGAGCUUGCUCCUUUGACGUUAGCGGCGGACGGGUGAGUAACACGUAGUUAACCUACCUAUAAGACUGGGAUAACUUCGGGAAACCGGAGCUAAUACCGGAUAAUAUUUCGAACCGCAUGGUUCGAUAGUGAAAGAUGGCUUUGCUAUCACUUAUAGAUGGACCUGCGCCGUAUUAGCUAGUUGGUAAGGUAACGGCUUACCAAGGCAACGAUACGUAGCCGACCUGAGAGGGUGAUCGGACACACUGGAACUGAGACACGGUCCAGACUCCUACGGGAGGCAGCAGUAGGGAAUCUUCCGCAAUGGGCGAAAGCCUGACGGAGCAACGCCGCGUGAGUGAUGAAGGUCUUCGGAUCGUAAAACUCUGUUAUUAGGGAAGAACAAACGUGUAAGUAACUGUGCACGUCUUGACGGUACCUAAUCAGAAAGCCACGGCUAACUACGUG